AGUCAAUAGAUACCCCGGUAGUCCACGCCGUAAACGAUGAGUACUAGGUGUAGGAGGUAUCGACUCCUUCUGUGCCGCAGUUAAACACAAUAAGUACUCCGCCUGGGAAGUACGGUCGCAAGAUUAAAACUCAAAGGAAUUGACGGGGGUCCCGCACAAGCAGCGGAGCAUGUGGUUUAAUUCGAAGCAACGCGAAGAACCUUACCUAGACUUGACAUCUCCUGAAUAGUGUAGAGAUACAUGAAGCCCUUCGGGGUCAGGAAGACAGGUGGUGCAUGGUUGUCGUCAGCUCGUGUCGUGAGAUGUUGGG
rnacentral:rRNA from 1 species